ACGGGAGGCAGCAGUGAGGAAUAUUGGACAAUGGGGGCAACCCUGAUCCAGCCAAACCGCGUGAGGGAUGAAGGUCCUACGGAUCGUAAACCUCUUUUAUGUGGGAAUAAUUGUUGGGACGUGUCCCAACUUGAAGGUACCGCUUGAAUAAGCAUCGGCUAACUCCGUGCCAGCAGCCGCGGUAAUACGGAGGAUGCAGGCGUUAUCCGGAUUUAUUAGGUUUAAAGGGUGCGCAGGCGGGACAUUAAGUCGGUGGUGAAAUACCGUGGCCCAACCACGGGGCUGCCAUCGAUACUGAUGACCUUGAGUGCGUGUGACGUAGGCGGAAUGUGACGUGUAGCGGUGAAAUGCUUAGAUAUGUCACAGAACUCCGAUUGCGAAGGCAGCUUACCAGCAUACAACUGACGCUGAGGCACGAAAGCGUGGGUAUCAAACAGGAUUAGAUACCCUGGUA
rnacentral:rRNA from 1 species